rnacentral:rRNA from 1 species
AAUUAACGCUGGCAGAGUGCAUAACACAUGCAAGUCGAGCGGGGACCGUAGCAAUACGGUUCCAGCGGCAGACGAGUGAGUAACACGUGGACAAUCUGCCCUUCAAUGGUGAAUAACCAGCCGAAAGGUUGGCGAAUACACCGUACACUCUUCUGGGGGCAUCCCCCGGGGGAAGAGAGGCCCGCAAGGGUCGUUGAAGGAGGAGUCCGCGGCCCAUCAGCUAGUUGGCGGUGUAAUAGACCACCAAGGCUACGACGGGUACCCGGCCUGAAAGGGCGGACGGGCACGAUGGCACUGAGACACGGGCCAUACUCCUACGGGAGGCAGCAGUGGGGAACUUUGGACAAUGGGCGAAAGCCUGAUCCAGCAACUCUGCGUGAGGGACGAAGGUCUUCGGAUCGUAAACCUCUUUUGCUAGGGGCGAACACCCGCAAGGGUUUGACGGUACCUAGCGAAUAAGCCACGGCUAACUAUGUGCCAGCAGCCGCGGUAAGACAUAGGUGGCAAGCGUUAUUAC